UAGAAAUUCUUCAAAAUCACUUAAGACAGCUGUCAUACCGAGCGUCAAAUCCAUUAGUUCUGAUUUUUGGCACAGUUAUUUGCAAUCAGCGGCGGGCUUUCUCAUUGCGAAGAUACGAGUGACAGUUCCUUGUGAGGUCUUUUGUCCUUGGUUAACAUUUGAAUUUUUUAAACAAAAUCGUUGGAGCCAUUUUUGAGCAAUUUCAACUUUACUAAAAUCGAGUCUCCAAAAAAUACUACGUACCAAGUUUGAAGUCAAUCGCUCCAUCCGUUUAGGCUGUAGCUUUUUAUACAGACAGACAGACAGGCGUAGUUCUGGGACCCACUUUUUUGGCAGUCUCUAAAAUCUUAAUGUCAUAAAAAAAAAUUUUCACAAUUUUUUUUUUUGUACGAAUGCAUAAAUUGAUAUAAUAGUACCAAUAUCGCAAGUAAAAAUUCAAUGAUGCAUUUCAAUGAUAGCUAUAACUGGCCCCUAUUACAAAAAAUCAUGUUUUUUUAUUCAAAAUAUUAUUUUUCCGUCAUCAUC